GUUCUACCUAAGAGAGAGAACUGGACAAAAAUGCUGAACAGAUUGAUGGUUCACACUCUGUUUCAAAUAUAGAAAAUUAUCUAGAUGAAUGGAGUAAUUUCUCCUUAAGAAGAAAAUCCUCAGAAUUUCCAGAGUACAGAUCAUUCCAGAAUGGCAUGACGAGGCAAGACAUCAUAGAAAAUGUCCUUUUACCUGGCCCUUGAAGAAGUGUAUUUUAAUAGUGAAUUGAAGGCAUGAGUUUUGACUGGUACUCCUUACCUAAUGAAACCGACAGAGCAGUCAUCUUCCUUUACAAGGUACUUGUCCUAGGCCUUGCUUGAGAAUCAUUUGACUUUGCAAUAGGAGCUAGAAUUCUGUGUAGCAGAGAUUGCUGUCUAUUUUGCCUCAUGUUUCAGUGGCUUUGCUAUACAAUGUAUCCAACAGGUUGCUGAUCUGAGUGUUGAAGUAUCUACAGGGACAAGGAACGAGAACCAUACCAACACUUGGUGUUGCUGAGUACAAGACUAGCUGACUAUAGAGACUAGACUGGCUCAAAAAUGUGACUUGCUGGAAACUUGCCUGAGACAAUAGGAGUCAAUCAUCUUUCAAGUUCAAAGGAGGCCCUGGAACAGAGUCAAUCGUAUGUUAAAUUAGUCAGUUCAGUUUCCUAAAACUCAUUUAUAAAAUGUUAGAGAAGCUGCAAGAGGACAGGGAAGAGGGUUAUCUAAGUCACUGGCAAAGAAAUCACUUGGUUUGUGGCCAAGAGAAUAUUGGUGAAAUCAUAUAGGUUUCUGCCCCACCCACACACAGCAAAUGCUCCAUCCAUUCCAGUUGAUUUGAAAGAAGUUGACUUGGUCUAUAUAGCAGAGAAUUUUGCAGCCCUGUGAACAGAUAAGAUAGUUAGGAGAGCCAUACAAUAUUUUAAUGAUAUACAGACGUAGCCAAAGGGUGAAAAUCAGCUCUCUUUUCCUUGGACCUUUGGUAAGAUAAAGGUUUAAGGGCAGUCACAGUUGGCAUCUCAAAAAAAAAAAAUUGGAGAAAUAUUUCUUCAUGAAAUGUGAAAAUUAUUUAAAGCAAUUCUCUUUUCAACACUGUUAGUAGAGUCACUGUGCUAAUAAAUAAUGCCUCAGUCAAGGGCAAUUUCACCAGAUUGUCUGGAUCACUUUGCCGUUGCUUCUCUUUUCCUUUUUUCCUUUAUUUCUUUGCCCUGGAGAAGAAUCAGUGGUGGAUGGCCAGUGAAGGAAGUGAGGAGGAACUUCAAGCUCUAGCGCUAUAAAAGUUAAUCUGGCGCUUCUUUAGUUAAUAUCAGCACCGUGCACAAGUGAUGCUGUGCAUGCCUGGGGUUGUCUUACUCCUUUCCUCUCUGGAGAAGUCCGCUAUCCAUGGGGUUAAAAGCAGGAGUCAGGCUGCCUUGGUUUGAAUCCUGGCCUCACUGCUGACUAGCUGUGUGCCUCUAUAGAAGUUAAUUAAUCUCUCUGGGCUCCAGUAAAAUGAAGGUAACAAUAGUACCAUGUAGGAUCAUUGUGGAGAUUUUAUGAGUUGAUAUUCAUAAAGCACUUAGAAGAGUGUCUAAUACAUAGUAAGCACUAAGUGACUAAAGUUAAAUAAAAUAAAGAAGAUUUACUUAUUUGGGUUUUUUUUACAACUGUUGGAUUUUGGCAAAUGCUCCUAGAAUUUGACUUUCCUUAUCCUGUUUUUCCCCUAUCCAACUGUCAACACAUACUAUCUAUGCCAUUCCAAUGAAAAUCAUGGUACUGUCUUGUAUUCGUCAUCUGUCUCUGGGAGAACAUUUUAAUAAUAAUCCCUGUUAUGCUUUCCUUCAGCCCUCAUUUUAUCACUCUAGUUCCGCGAAACACAGCUCUUUCUAUAGAAUUAGAGGAAUGAAAGAGCCCUGGAAAGGUCAUUAAUUUUUUUUCCCUUACCUCUGCCACCCACUUUCAAGCCAGACCACACACAUAAAUCAUCCCAGCCUUUUUCUUCAUCACACUGUGGUUUCUAUUCACAUUUACUCUGCCCUAAGGAAAUGAUUUUGCUACAGGUGGGCAAAUUCAGCACUAAUGGCAUUACCCUCUGUUUUCAGGGGAACUUUUGAGGGCAAAAUAGUCCCAUUAACAUUGCCAGUUUCACAGUAUUCUUGUCACUGAUCAAGUUUAAUUAUUUCCUGUGCCAUUAUUGAAAAUCCAGAAAUCAACUUCUCACUCACAAGAAAGAAUUCAUGUUCAGAUUGAAUUAUCUCAUGGUAAAUUUCUUAAACUAUUUCUAUAACGGAUUUCCCCUCCUUUUUUCAGACAGUGACUCCAGGGUGAAAAUCAGCUAUUUUCUUGUUACUAGACCGUGAGCUCUAAUUAAACUCUGACUUCAGGAGAAAAAUAUAGCUGGUCAAUUCAAUUAAAAAAUGCAUAAAGGUAGCUAUAUCACACUGCAAGAUGUAACCUGCUUGUCUGGAAUUUUCAUUAUUAAUUGGUUGACUUCACAAUUAUAUAGAGAAACAAAACUUCUGAUUUUUAAAAAAUUCCUGAAAGUUCAAAAUACUGGCUUGAGACUGGUUAUAUGCUUUUUAAGCAUUAUAUUUUCAGCAGCUGGUGUGUGCAUGAUUAAAAAGAUGGAGGUGGUGUGUUUUAUUUUAGACAACAUCUCAAACUCUUCCUGAAAAACUUUUCUGUUGAUAUCUGGUGUCUACUGCACUUUGGAGUUCAUAUAAAUACAGCCAUGUAAUCUUAUGGGGUUCUCCAGGACUCUCCCUCUAUUUGCCACUCUAUCCAUACAGAAUAGAGGGCAGGGACUUCCCAGUCGGUGGAAGAUACAGUUCAAUGCCAAUGACGCCAGGAAUGCCAUUAUCCCAAAAAACGUCCCCGUCCGAAGACUGAAAUCAUAUCGUUUGAGAAUUCGUUUGUUUGAGUUAAGGUUAUUCACCUAUCAAUGCUUUCAAAGAAAAAGCAUCCAACCAACUCAGAACUCUUGGGUCUGAGUGAAGCUUCUUCCCUGUUUUACUCCUUGCGAGGAGACACUAGGGCACAGUUGCAGAAAUAAUCAUGAAUAUUUUCUCUGAUUUUUUAAAAUAGUGUAAGAGAUCCAUUUGUUUAACAAGCAGUUCUUUGGCACCCACUAUAUCACAGGGUCCCAGGCACUGUAGAUGUAAAGAAGAAAGGAAAAAAACAUAGUUAAGGUCCUCUAGAGGGAAGACAAUAUAAUAAUUGAAUAUCGUGCACACAGGUUGUAAGGGGAACAUCUGGCAGUCAUCAGAGCAGUCAUUUGGGGAGAACAGGGAAAGAGAUGUAUAACUCUGGCUGGAGAGACCAGAAAAGACUGCUCUUGAAUAGCGAUUAUUUAAGCCAAGUCUUGAAGGAUAAAUAGGAGUGCAUCAAACAUCAAGAUGAGAAGGAGUAUCGUAGGCUGAGGAGGCAGCAUGUCAAGUAUAGAGAGGUAAUGAAGACAAAAGGAUGAUAAAGGAACCAGGGAUAGAUCAUCAUCACAGGUAGAAGGACUUUGUGAUGAAUUGAUGGGAGAUUCCAUGGAGAAAGUUGUCCUGGGUCCAUUACAUGCUAAGAUUCUGGGCCUUCUCCUAUAGAUCACCAAUUCUCAUAAGAAGAAUUCCCAUGGGCCCCAUCCUUCCAUGGGCAUAUCCAUUAUAAUGCAUAAUUUCAGGUGACCUAACUACAACCUGUCUCAUUUUCUCUUGCUUAAGAAACACUUCUGAAUACCAAGGAGUGAAGAUAAACAGAAGGAUAACCUAGAAUCCUUUCUUGUUUAUCAAAAAAUAAUCUCAAAAUUCAGUUAAUUCCAGUGAGCUCUAUCUAUCUAUUUAUCUAGAUAAAACAAAAAUAGAACAGCUCUUCUCGUAUCAAUGUGCUUUGAGAACAAGGUUAAGAACUACUCUUAGAGAUGAUGAAAAGCAAUAAAGGGAUUGUAUAAAAAGAGUGACAGGUUCAAUUUGCAUUCUGGAAAUAUUGUUCUAUUUAUAAUGAGGGGGAUGGAUUGAAGAUGGUAAAGCAUGGAGGAGAGGGUAGUAGAUGCUACUACAAUAAUCUAGAAAAGGAAUUGAAAUUGUACCAGUUUGAAUAGAGAGAAGAGGAAGGUGCACGAGGAGUGGAAGGGGAAAGACUUGCUCGUCAAGGAAUAUGGAUGAUGAGAGAGAAGGAGGAAAUGAGUCUACUUAGACGUCAAGACAGGCAGCAGAAGAAAAUCAGAAAUGGAAUAAAUUCCAAAGGUAUUGGAACUCCAAAGGCUAACACCUGGAAGCCAUCACCUGCAGAUGCCCAGCCGCCACACACUGUACCCUGCACAGCGGUGUGGGUGCUAAUGGAGAGACCUUGAUCCACCAGUGCACAGUAGGGAAAAUAAACAUACACCUCUCUUUGAAGUAGAAUGGAGAGUGACUCCGUGAAGUCAAGGGGCAUUGUGAAAGAAUGCAAAGCAAAAGGUUUUUCACUAAAGUCUCAUGUAAAUAAAAGUGGUCCUGGGAGGAGAAAAAACAAUACACAGCUGAGAAGAAAUCAACUUUGGAAAGUUCUUUCAGUCAUUUAUCAUUAAAUAGUUAUUAAUAACCUACUACGUGGCAGGCCUGGUUCUGGCCUCUGUGGGACAAAGGAGUAAACAAAGCAGAUAGUUCUACAAGUGACAGCCUAAUUCUUGAAAGAGACAAUUAAAAAAAGAUUGCACAUAUAAAUAUAUAAUUACUACUUUGAUGUUUCAAUGAAAGAAAACUGCAGGGUUCUAUGACAAUGAAACUUUCAGCAAAAAUCCCAAGAAGACAGGAAAACCCUAAGGAG
rnacentral:lncRNA from 1 species